UUUUGCCUACGGGACGCAGCAGUGGGGGAUAUUGCACAAUGGGGGGAACCCUGAUGCAGCGACGCCGCGUGGGUGAAGGAGCGUUUCGGCGCGUAAAGCCCUAUCGGCAGGGAAGAAGGUGACGGUAUCUAACCAGAAAGCCACGGCUAACUACGUGCCAGCAGCCGCGGUAAUACGUAGGUGGCAAGCGUUAUCCGGAUUUAUUGGGCGUAAAGGGAACGCAGGCGGUCUUUUAAGUCUGAUGUGAAAGCCUUCGGCUUAACCGGAGGAGUGCAUUGGGAACUGGGAGACUUGAGUGCAGAAGA
rnacentral:rRNA from 1 species